CUUGACCCUCCUGCUUCCCCUUACAGCCCCCAUGGAAGAGCCUGAGCUUGACAGCCCCAGCCUGUCCACACAGUCAGGCUUGGAGCCUUCCCAUGAACCCAAGACCAUCAGCCCCAGCACUGGAGAUGAGCAGCCCCAGCACUGAGAACCAGGUGACAUCAGACUCAUCCCACAGCAGCUCCUCAGAACCUGAGGACAGCACCUGCUCCAGCAGUCCUGGGCCUGACCUGACACAAAACUGCUCGUGCCAGCAACGUCGGACCCCAUUCCAUAUGGCCGGUCCUGGACUCCCCAUGACAGUAACUGCGAGUCACAUCGAGUUCUGAGAGGCAAAACCCAAGGGAGACACAGCAGCGAGGACAUCCCGAAGGCAAAACCACGCCCACCAGGAGUGUCAGACCCCAAAUCCACAGAGCCGGUCCCAAAGUCCCCAUGACAGGAGCCAUGAGCCAGCACCAAGUCCUGGGAGACGCAGGCCCAGGCAGACACAAACAGGGACAUCCUGCAAGCAAAAGCACUUCUGGCAGCAAUAUCAGACCCCCAAUACACAGAGCCAGUCCAGAAGUCAUCGUGACAGGAGCCGCGUGAGAUCACCAAGGGCUGGGAGGUGCAACAGCGGCCAGAAGCAUCGAGGACACCCCAAAGGCGAAACCAGUCCCGCCAGCAACGUCGGACCCCAGAUGAAUGCAGCCAAUCUAGAAGUUGCCGUGACAGGAGCCGUGUGGCAGCCCCAAGUGCUGGGAGAUGCACCCCCAGCCAGGAAGCACGAAGGACAUCCCACACGUGAAACUGGUUCUGUCAGCAACGUAUCAAAUCCCUUUAUCAAAUCCCUUCAAUAAAUGUAUAGGACUGCUUUUUAAAAUAUUUUUAUGUAUUUGCAAAAUUAUGCAAGUGGCACUUUUGA